UUAAUAGUAAAAUCUGCUCAAUGAUUAUUUAAUAGCCGCAAUUAGUGCUAAGGUAGCAAAAUCAUUUGUCUUUUAAAUGGAGACUAGAACAAAAGAUUUUUCAUCUCAUUUAAUUUUUUUAUAUAAAAAAUAUAAAUUUUUAUAAAAGUUAAAAAUCUUUUAUACUUUAAAAAGACGACAAGACCCUAUUAAACUUAACUUAAGUUAAACUGGGGAAGUUAAUUAAUUAUUAUUUUAAUUUAUAUAAUUUUAUAAAAAUCCUUUUAAUUGAUAAAUAAGUUACUAUAGGGAUAACAGCGUAAUAUUAUUUUAAAGACCUUAUUAAAAAUAAAGAUUACGACCUCGAUGUUGAAUUAAUAACCUAAUUUAAGCAAAAUUUAAAAUAGGAAGUCUGUUCGACUUUUAAAUAAUUACAUGAUUUGAGUUCAGACCGGUACAAGCCAGGUCGGCUUUUAUCUUUUAAACAUAUUUUUGUAGUACGAAAGGACCUAAAAAUUAAAUUUAAUUUAUUAAUUUGGCAGAUCAAUGCAUUAGAAUUAGAAUCUAAUUACCU
rnacentral:rRNA from 1 species